rnacentral:rRNA from 1 species
UAGCGUAGGGUGCAAGCCGUUGUCCGGAUUCGAUUGGGCGUAAAGGGUGCGUAGGCGGCGCGGUAAGUCGGGUGUGAAAUCUCGGGGCUUAACUCCGAAACUGCAUUCGAUACUGCCGUGCUAGAGGACUGGAGAGGAGACUGGAAUUUACGGUGUAGCGGUGAAAUGCGUAGAUAUCGUAAGGAAGACCAGUGGCGAAGGCGGGUCUCUGGACAGUUCCUGACGCUGAGGCACGAAGGCCAGGGGAGCAAACGGG